rnacentral:rRNA from 1 species
GACGAACGCUGGCGGCGUGCUUAACACAUGCAAGUCGAACGAAGUGGCGAACGGGUGAGUAACGCGUAAUCAACCUGCCCUUCAGAGGGGGACAACAGUUGGAAACGACUGCUAAUACCGCAUACUGAAGGAGGGGAUUGCGUCUGAUUAGCUAGUUGGAGGGGUAACGGCCCACCAAGGCGAUGAUCAGUAGCCGGUCUGGGAGGAUGAACGGCCACAUUGGGACGUAGGACAGGACCAGACUCCGACGGGAGGCAGCAGGGGGGAAUCUGCCGGAAUGGACGAAAGUCUGACGCAGCAACGCCGCGUGAGUGAUGACGGCCUUCGGGUUGUAAAGCUCUGUUAAUCGGGACGCGGUACCGAAAUAGAAGGCCACGGCUAACUACGUGCCAGCAGCCGCGGUAAUAC